rnacentral:rRNA from 1 species
UUGGAGGGCAAGUCUGGUGCCAGCAGCCGCGGUAAUUCCAGCUCCAAUAGCGUAUAUUAAAGUUGUUGCAGUUAAAAAAGCUCGUAGUUGAACUUCAGACCUGACCGGGCGGUCCGCCUAACGGUGUGUACUGUCUGGCCGGGCCUUACCUCUUGGUGAGCCGGCAUGCCCUUCACUGGGUGUGUCGGGGAACCAGGACCUUUACCUUGAGAAAAUUAGAGUGUUCAAAGCAGGCUUACGCCGGAAUACAUUAGCAUGGAAUAAUAAAAUAGGACGUGCGG